AGGGUUUGAUCCUGGCUCAGAACGAACGCUGGCGGCAGGCCUAAUACAUGCAAGUCGAGCGCACCUUCGGGUGAGCGGCGGACGGGUUAGUAACGCGUGGGAAUAUGCCCAAAGGUACGGAAUAGCCUCUGGAAACGGAGAGUAAUACCGUAUGUGCCCUUCGGGGGAAAGAUUUAUCGCCUUUGGAUUAGCCCGCGUUGGAUUAGGUAGUUGGUGGGGUAAUGGCCUACCAAGCCUACGAUCCAUAGCUGGUUUGAGAGGAUGAUCAGCAACACUGGGACUGAGACACGGCCCAGACUCCUACGGGAGGCAGCAGUAGGGAAUCUUAGACAAUGGGCGAAAGCCUGAUCUAGCCAUGCCGCGUGAGUGAAGAAGGCCCUAGGGUCGUAAAGCUCUUUCGCCAGGGAUGAUAAUGACAGUACCUGGUAAAGAAACCCCGGCUAACUCCGUGCCAGCCGCCGCGGUAAUUC
rnacentral:rRNA from 1 species